GUUUAGAGCACUUAAGUUUCGAUGUGAGCAUCUUUAGAGCUCUCUUCUGUUUGGUAUGGUGACUAGUCACAUUCGAGAUGGUGAUUGCCCCAGCCGUCUGGGUUCCUGAGUGACUUCUACCAUAUGAACAAAACCUCUGGGUUUAUUUACAUGGGCAUGUGAGGGAGACAUAAAUAUUUUGGUACAAACUACUGCAGUUAGGGAAUUUUUGUUUUUCGUGCCUAACCUAACUUAUCUUGACCAAUACAGGAAUGAAUCCUGAAAGCAGAGUGCUGCCAUUAAAAAAAAAUCUAAACUAAACUACCUAUUACAGUGGCUUGGGUGAUAGAUGGUAAUGCUGCAUGAAGUGAUCCACAUUCUACCAUGCUGAGGGUCUAAUCAGCCCUCGGUAAUUGGGACCUCAGAACAGGGACUCUGAGACCUGAAGGGGAAGACCUACUGAAGUGCGAAAGGAACAGAAACAGAUGUUGGGGAACUCCAUGGGAUGAAUCCAGAAGCCAGCUGUUUAAAAAGGUGAAGGCAAAUCACUGUGCCAUGGAAAGUAUUUUCUUAACCGGGAAAAUGGGCGGAAUUUGUCAGUGGAGGAGCAGAGGUAUGUACAGGUGUUGCAUAUUAGUGAAACAGGCUGGGGUUCAGGUUAGCACAUUGUCUUUCAAAAAUGCUGCAGGAUAUUAUCAAACGUAAUUCCUGGUUCCCAUGGGCAGGAACCUUGGAUACAGAGAAUUGGGAUAGAGUGGGGGAAAAUUUAAGGAGAGCCCAUAGAAGGGGUGAACAAAUUGCCCUAGAAACUUUCUCAAUGUAGAGUCUGGUAAGACUGAUACUGAAACUUUUACAUAUGGCAAUAGCUACCACUACUUCUAUUGCUCCCCCUGAUGAAAGAAAGGGAAAAUAUAUCGAAGAUAACCCCUUUCAUGGCCUGCACCUCCCAAAGUUCUGGAGGUUAGCAGAGGCUACCCCCCUUAUCUAAAUAUCAAGAGCUCAUUUGGCAAGCUACUAUGGUAGGGGAUCUGAAUGGGCCUUGUUGCUUCCCCAUUUUAGUCAGACCAGACCCUAAUGAUCCUCAACAGAUGAUACAUGAACAUCAGGAAAUAGGAUAUAAGGCAUUGAAGGCAGACCAUUAAGACAGA
rnacentral:lncRNA from 1 species